rnacentral:lncRNA from 1 species
GCGGAUGGAUCUUCUCAAUGAGACAAGCGAGGCAGGCUUUAGCAAUCAUUUCCCCGUUGAUUCUAAGCAAGGUUUAACGAAGUCAACUCAUGAACCACUGCCUUGUGCUGAGUUCAUGGGUCCAGUAGGUUUGGUCCAAAUGGAUGAACGUAUUGUAAAACCUAUGGUCAUGGAGAAGGGAAGGCAUUCAUGCCAUGGAAAGAGAG